GCGUGCGAUUGACGCUGAGGCUCGAAAGCGCGGGUAUCAAACAGGAUUAGAUACCCUGGUAGUCCGCGCCGUAAACGAUGGAUGCCCGUCAUUGGCGACAGACAGUCAGUGACCAAGCGAAAGCGUUAAGCAUCCCACCUGGGGAGUACGCCGGCAACGGUGAAACUCAAAGGAAUUGACGGGGGCCCGCACAAGCGGAGGAACAUGUGGUUUAAUUCGAUGAUACGCGAGGAACCUUACCCGGGCUUGAAUUGUGCAGGACGACUCGGAGAGACCCGAGUUUUCUUCGGACCUGCAUGAAGGUGCUGCAUGGUUGUCGUCAGCUCGUGCCGUGAGGUGUCGGCUUAAGUGCCAUAACGAGCGCAACCCCUGCCGCCAGUUGCCAUCCUUGAGUGGGGCACUCUGGCGGGACUGCCGUCGCAAGGCGUGAGGAAGGUGGGGAUGACGUCAAAUCAGCACGGCCCUUACGUCCGGGGCUACACACGUGUUACAAUGGGGGGCACAGCGCGCCGCCACCUGGCGACAGGGAGCGAAUCGUGAAAUCCCCUCUCAGUUCGGAUCGGAGUCUGCAACCCGACUCCGUGAAGCUGGAUUCGCUAG
rnacentral:rRNA from 1 species